rnacentral:rRNA from 1 species
ACGAACGUUGGCGGCGUGGAUUAGGCAUGCAAGUCGAACGAAUGUCAGUUUUGUAGCAAUACAGAGCUGGCGGAAGUGGCGAAAGGGGCAGUAAUGCAUGGGUAACCUACCUUGGGGAUGGGCAUAGCCGUUCUAACGAGCGGGUAAUUCCCAGAGAUUCAGCGGGAGGGCAUCCUUCUGCUGGGAAAUGAAUUUCGCCUCGAGAGGGGCCCAUGUGCUAUUAGCUAGUUGGUAGGGUAACGGCCUACCAAGGCUAAGAUGGCUAGCGGGUGUGAGAGCACGACCCGCGCCACUGGCACUGAGACACUGGCCAGACACCUACGGGUGGCUGCAGUCGAGGAUCUUCGUCAAUGGGCGCAAGCCUGAACGAGCGACGCCGCGUGCGCGAUGAAGGCCUUCGGGUUGUAAAGCGCGAAAGUGGAGAGAAAGGGCAACUUGAUCAAUCCACAGUAAGGACGGGCUAAGUUCGU